GAUGAACGCUAGCGAUAGGCCUAACACAUGCAAGUCGAGGGGCAUCACAUGAAGUAGCAAUACGGAUGGUGGCGACCGGCGCACGGGUGAGUAACACGUAUGCAACCUGCCUUCAACAAGGGGAUAACCCGUUGAAAGACGGACUAAUACCCUAUAACACAGGGGUCCCGCAUGGGAAUAUUUGUUAAAGGACAACCGGUUGAAGAUGGGCAUGCGUUCCAUUAGCUAGUUGGCGGGGUAACGCCCACCAAGGCAACGAUGGAUAGGGGAACUGAGAGGUUUAUCCCCCACACUGGUACUGAGACACGGACCAGACUCCUACGGGAGGCAGCAGUGAGGAAUAUUGGUCAAUGGACGCAAGUCUGAACCAGCCACGUCGCGUGAAGGAAGACGGCCCUACGGGUUGUAAACUUCUUUUAUACGGGAAUAAAGUGCCCCACGCGUGGGGUUUUGCAUGUACCGUAUGAAUAAGGAUCGGCUAACUCCGUGCCAGCAGCCG
rnacentral:rRNA from 1 species